AGGAUUUUAACUAAAAUGAUCUUUUCUGAAUACUGGCAGGCCAAAUUAUUAUUUUUGUUGUUGUUCUUGCUGCCGAUCUGUUAGAACAUUGCUGUCCUAAAGUGAAUGGAUUUGUAACCUGAAACCUGCCAGGAACCUGGUACUUAACCCGAAGCCGUCAAUCAUUCAGCUAAAUGGCUGUUUGUGUACGUAGCUAAUCCGUUCUACAGACUAUUACGUUGUAGUGCAAUAUCACGUUGUGCCGUACGAUGGCGCAGAACCCUCAAAUUUGUCUCCAAGAGGAUUGCUUAAAAAAAAAAAACAGAUACGUGCAGAAAUCUGGCUGUAUGAGAAACGUGGGCGUUUGUUGUGCUGAGCUCAUUUUUUAAAACGUGAAACAGUGCCUCGUGUGUUUCAAAAAAAUAAUGGGAUAUUCGUUUAAUUUAAUUUAGUGAUCUGAAAUGAACGGUUAUUUAUGACAUUGACGCGUAUACAACGAAAAUAAUGGCGACCCUGCAAUUCAUUCGGGAAGCUUGUGCGGCGAUUAAAAACCGAUGGGCUGCGCGUGCGAUGCUGGCGAAUGGCUGGCACGCGCCCGACGGACACGUAACGCACGUCUGAGCAGCAGUUGUGUUGAUGUAUGAGCAGCAUGUCACUGUAUACAAAAUCUCCAUUUGUUUGUAUUAAAUUUACGGAAACCGUAAUAUCACCGUGUGGUGAGAAAAACAGCUCAGCGGGUCAAAACAGAUCCAAAAGCACCCCCACUCCCUCGAGGGUGAAGAUAUAGGCAAAUUCUGCGCAUCCUGCCGCCGCAGAUGUUGCCGCAUGUUGGAUGGAGCCUGCAGUACUGCAGUAGGACACUGACACAUGCAGUGACCUUUCCCCAUUCGAGCCAGCCGCCCAGACCGCUGACGGACCCAGGACCACAGCCAUCCCCGGAGAUCCAUCGGCCAUGAGACGCAAGCGAGGCCCAAGCGAUUAGCAGACCUCAGGGCCCGGUGGACGAGGCAUGUCUGUGUGUCGGAGGAGAGCCACUUAGCAGUGUUAAAUGAAAAAUUCAGCGCGAGUAUCCCAGUGAAAGGAGUGUCUCGUUAAAUGGGCAAACCGAGGAUGGAAAACAAACUAAAGCCCUCACACAUCACGGAAGAGGAAUGUCCAAGACAGAUUGGAGUCCCAUCCAGGUUCUUUCACUGCCUUGUUCUUCAGACUUCCUGGGUGAACCCCCAAGUUCAUUGCAACACUAUAGUAGGCCUGCCAGUGGUCCGGGUUUCUUGGCUCUGGAGCGUCCUCAGUGGUUGAGCUGCAGCUCUAGGCGAGCUCCAGAGUUGCGAGAGAUCUUCCCUUCCAGCUCCAGGCCUCCUCCAGGGGUUCCCUGUGCCCCGCAGAUCAGUUCGGCAUCGCAGAGACAGCAAGUUCUCCUCAGAGAAGUACAGUAUGGAUGCACAAUGUUCAAUUCACAAUUCACAACAGGGUGGAUUUGCAAUGAUCAACAUUUCAGGGUAAAAAUGUUGUCCGAGGUCAUGAAGAUGACACAGCUAAUGUAAUGGAUAAAACACAUAUUCCAUUUUGAGGAGGGCAGUUCUAACACAGUUAUCCAAAAAAGACAAUAGAUCUAUAAUUUUCAAUUCUCUAUCUUGGGAAAGUGCAGCUCUGCUCACACAACUGCUUUGUGGAAGGUGUGAUGGAUCUCGGAUUCGCUGCUCAUCGGUGACGCCUGUGAUCACACGCGUGCGGAGGGGAGCCGUGUUUGCUCACCACUCCGCGUCUUCAUCGAUCUGGAGCUCUGACUCUGACACCCGAGUCUCUGCAGAGUAGAGUCACAGAUCGACCUACAGAAGUCAAUCCUCAUGUCUUUAAUGUAAAGUCCUUCAUUAUUGAGCUGCAGCUUUUAAUUCCUUUAGAGACACAGAAUAAUGUGUGAGUAUAAACCAGCCUCUUAUUUAUACUUUAUAGCUGUGAUCCCUUUAUUAUGAUUUUUGCACACUUUCGUGCCACUUUUUGGCCAGACCUGGUGUUUUUUUCGUACCAUUUGUUGUCUGAACAGCAUAUCCAUUACAACAGGUAUUGGUGGUUCAUGAUUGUUUUAUCCUGAAGGUAUGUUUGGUGUUUUUGUUGCAUGUGCUUGUCGAUGUGUAGAUUUGCUGAGCGUGUAGCAUGGAAAUAUGACUGGUGGCAGUCAGGAACUACCUCAGUCAUCUCCUUCCAAGGAUGGAAAUGGCCUUGAGCAGACUGCUGACGGUGUAGAAGGAAUGCUGUCUUAAUGGUUGCCAUAGUCGUGGAAAUUCAUUAAAUAUGUCAUCUCUCCUUCCAUCAAUCCAUCGUUUAUAAGCACUGGUCCAGUACAGGCAGACAGAGAGCUUGGAGCCUGAUCCAGGAAAUACAGGAUGGGUUGCCAGUCCAUCACGGGGAACUUCAGUAUAUGAUGUUAAUUAAUAAUAAUUGAAUUCUCAUCAUUUUACCCACAGCUUUUUCUAGAACGAGGAUACAUUCACUAGAAAUGUCAAAAGCCACAUUUCUAAGCAUUGUGCUUAAGAUAUUAACCUCCGUUGAUUUGAUAUGACUAUGAUUUUCAUCAUAAUGCUCAUCUCCAUCAUUACCCUUCCUGUUGUUAACAUAGUAAACUACCCUGUUAUCGAUUUCACAAUCGUGCGUUAGUGCUUAUGCUAUAAGUUCAUAUCAGUGAUUUAUAAUCUCAAUAUUCAGCCUCUGUCAACUGUGCAGCUCAUAUACAGCUUGGGGACUGUGGAUAGAUAAUGUCGGUCUGGAUAGUUGGCCCAGGCUGUUGGGUAAGAUGGGCGUCAUGAUGAGGCCUUCACCCAUGGAGGACAGCUUCCCACUGGAUCGCCCUCAUGACCCAACAGUAGGCGGCCUUCACCCAUGGAGGACAGCUUCCCACUGGAUCGCCCUCGUGACCCAACGGCGGGCGGCCUUCACCCAUGGAGGACAGCUUCCCACUGGAUCGCCCUCGUGACCCAACGGCGGGCGCCAAGCAUAACGACGGAAAGAAGGGCGAUCCCCACUCCUCUUCAUUUUCCUCCUUGCAUUGUGAACCUUCGGACUCGCAAACGCAGCUGCGAUCACACACGCUGGAAACUCUAAGCGGGGGUGAACACUGGACCGCAAUGUGAAUUGCAGUCCGGAGACUUCCGAGCAGGGAAUCCUAAGUUUCCUCGGCAGCCAUUCCCACAGUUGACGGAACAAUCCCAGGCAGGAGUGAGAUUAGGAUUAUGCUGAAUGUGACAAGCAAGAUCCCAGGACAGCUCCAACUGAAUGGUAUAUUUACGGAAGGUUGCAGUUUGUUUUGUAAUCUGUUAGCGGCUCAGGGGGUGAGGUUAUGUGGAUGACAUUGCAGCAAAACUAAUCUUUGAACUCAGGAGGCACAGAUAUUCCACUUAGACCUCCCUUGGCAUCCUAAAAACCCUUAGCUGUUCGUCAUUAGUUUGGCCAAGAUACAGUUCAGGCUUCCAGCCAACCGAUGAAAAGAAAUGAAAAGAAAAUCACCCCAUUAAGUACCGGGAACCAAUGUGUGGCGAGUGGAAAUACGAUAACUACCUCGGAUUUGCGCUGCUGAAAGUUUAUGUGGGAGACGAGAGAGCUGCCAACUGAGUGCUACAUCGUCUGCUGUUUUUUUCUCCCUUGCCACCUUUUGUGUGAUAUAUUGUAAGAUGCGUUUCCCUCCCUUCCCUCCCAGCUGCAAAAAUAUUUUCUCUGUCAAACAUCUGCGGUAGGAAUGUGGGGACAGGGGGAGCAGACUU